rnacentral:rRNA from 1 species
UACGGAGGGUGCGAGCGUUGUCCGGAAUCACUGGGCGUAAAGGGCGCGUAGGCGGCCUGAUAAGUCGGGGGUGAAAUCCUGCGGCUUAACCGCAGGGCUGCCUUCUAAACUGGCAGGCUAGAGCACAGUAGAGGCAGGUGGAAUUCCCGGUGUAGCGGUGGAAUGCGCAGAGAUCGGGAAGAACAUCAGUGGCGAAGGCGGCCUGCUGGGCUGUUGCUGACGCUGAGGCGCGACAGCGUGGGGAGCAAACAGG